rnacentral:rRNA from 1 species
CACGUAGGGCGCAAGCGUUGUCCGGAAUUAUUGGGCGUAAAGAGCUCGUAGGCGGUCUGUUGCGUCCGCUGUGAAAACUCGGGGCUUAACCCCGGGCCUGCAGUGGGUACGGGCAGACUAGAGUGCGGUAGGGGGAGACUGGAAUUCCUGGUGUAGCGGUGAAAUGCGCAGAUAUCAGGAGGAACACCGGUGGCGAAGGCGGGUCUCUGGGCCGAUACUGACGCUGAGGAGCGAAAGCGUGGGGAGCGAACAGG